rnacentral:rRNA from 1 species
GGAUGAACCUGUCGGGGUACACGAGCGGCGAACGGGUGAGUAACACGUGGGUGAUCUGCCCUGCACUUCGGGAUAAGCCUGGGAAACUGGGUCUAAUACCGGAUAUGACCUCCUAUCGCAUGGUGGGUGGUGGAAAGAUUUAUCGGUGCAGGAUGGGCCCGCGGCCUAUCAGCUUGUUGGUGGGGUAAUGGCCUACCAAGGCGACGACGGGUAGCCGACCUGAGAGGGUGACCGGCCACACUGGGACUGAGACACGGCCCAGACUCCUACGGGAGGCAGCAGUGGGGAAUAUUGCACAAUGGGCGAAAGCCUGAUGCAGCGACGCCGCGUGAGGGAUGACGGCCUUCGGGUUGUAAACCUCUUUCAGCAGGGACGAAGCGCAAGUGACGGUACCUGCAGAAGAAGCACCGGCUAACUACGUGCCAGCAGCCGCGGUAAUACGUAGGGUGCAAGCGUUGUCCGGAAUUACUGGGCGUAAAGAGUUCGUAGGCGGUUUGUCGCGUCGUUUGUGAAAACCAGCAGCUCAACUGCUGGCUUGCAGGCGAUACGGGCAGACUUGAGUACUGCAGGGGAGACUGGAAUUCCUGGUGUAGCGGUGAAAUGCGCAGAUAUCAGGAGGAACACCGGUGGCGAAGGCGGGUCUCUGGGCAGUAACUGACGCUGAGGAACGAAAGCGUGGGUAGCGAACAGGAUUAGAUACCCUGGUAGUCCACGCCGUAAACGGUGGGCGCUAGGUGUGGGUUCCUUCCACGGAAUCCGUGCCGUAGCUAACGCAUUAAGCGCCCCGCCU